rnacentral:misc_RNA from 1 species
UGGCCAUGUUUAAACACCUGCAG